rnacentral:misc_RNA from 1 species
GAUGAAGAACGUAGCGAAAUGCGAUAAGUAGUGUGAAUUGCAGAAUUCCGUGAAUCAUCGAAUCUUUGAACGCACAUUGCGCCUUCUGGUAUUCCGGAAGGCAUGCCUGUUCGAGAGUCAUUAACAACCGUUUCGAUCCCUUUCUUUCAGAAAUUACAAAGAGGAAAAGGGUUUGGUUAUGGUGGAGGAGGGAAAGGGAGCGUUUAGCCUGUAAAAAAAGAGGCUGUGUUCCGCCUCCCCCCCAAAAUUGUACAGGCGGUCGUGUGCGCCCACGCAUCGAGGUGUUGUAAAAGCUGCCACGGCACUUUUCACCUGUGCAGUGCGAGAUUGGCCAGCCGGUUUAAAAACCCCUCCAAACAAUCAAAGGUUGACCUCGGAUCAGGUAGGGAUACCCGCUGAACUUAAGCAUACAAUAAGCGGGGA